rnacentral:lncRNA from 1 species
AACGUGGGUGGAGACGGUUGCCAUGACGUGGGCAGUUGCUGCGGCGCCGAUUUGCUUCAAUCUGCUUAGGGUUUCUGCUAUACCCUGUGUUCUUUUGGGCUAACAGGCUAGUGCUAGCAAUUUGGGUUGUUUGGGUAUUGGUCUUGUAAUUUGGUUAUUGGGUCGGGUGUUAUUGGGUUUAAAACUGGGUCUGUAAUUUAUUGUAUUUUUAUUUUAAGGUUUAUGUAUUUGGGCCCGGGCUAAAAUGGCCUAUUACA